rnacentral:sRNA from 1 species
GCCGGGCGUUGUGGGCGCCUGUGGUCCCAGCUACUUGGGAGGCGGAGGCAGGAGACUCGCUUGAGCCCAGGAGUUGGAAGUUGCUGUGAGCAGUGAAGCCAUGGCACUCUACCCAGGGUGAUAGCUUGAGGCUCUGUCUCAAAAAAAAAAAAAAGAAGCAGUCUCACUUUGUCACCCUCAGUAGAGUGCCAUGGCGUCACAGCUCACAGCAACCUCAAACUCUUGGGCUUAAGCAGUUCUUUUGCC